CGCUGGUGUUGCUGUUGCUGCUUCCUGGUGAGCAUGUUGGUUUUACGCUUCGCUUUUCUUUGUUUUUCUCUAAUUCUUCAAAUAUUUCGGAAUUGCUGUCAUACUGCUUUGUUUCUUAUUUCUUGCUUGCUUCUCUGUUUUUCUCAAGCACUGGUUCGAUCAUUUUAAUUUUUUUCUGUCCCUUCAAAAUUAUUAUCACCGAAUCAGCUUCUCUUUUUACUCUCCUAUUUUUUUGUCACCUUUCUUAUUAUCUUUUACAUGAUCGUGGUUUCUUUGAUAGCUUCUGCUAUUAUUCAGUUGUGCGGUGUUGGACUUCUUCAUACACACUGGUUAGUUAUUCCAAUUUUGCUUUUCUUUUACUCUUUUCUCUAUAUUCUAUCCUUUAAUUUGUACAUCCUUGACAUGCAUUUUCUGAUGCAUUAGUACUUGCAUCCUUGACCAUCAAUUGUUACUUUUUUUUGGACCACAAUUUUUUGUGUGAUCUUGUAGAUCACUCACUAUUUUUUCAUCUGACUACUCACAGGUUUUAUCUUCUCACCUUUGUUUUCCCUUUUUUUUUUCUUUUUUUUUUAGU
rnacentral:lncRNA from 1 species